AUACGAAGGCGGCUAGCGUUGUUCGGAAUCACUGGGCGUAAAGCGCGCGUAGGUGGAUCAAUUAGUUGAGGGUGAAAUCCCGGGGCUCAACCUCGGAACUGCCUUCAAUACUGUUGAUCUUGAGACCGAGAGAGGUGAGUGGAAUUCCUAGUGUAGAGGUGAAAUUCGUAGAUAUUAGGAAGAACACCAGUGGCGAAGGCGGCUCACUGGCUCGGUACUGACGCUGAGGUGCGAAAGCGUGGGGAGCAAACAGGAUUAGAAACCCCAGUAGUCC
rnacentral:rRNA from 1 species